rnacentral:rRNA from 1 species
UACAGAGGUCCCAAGCGUUGUUCGGAAUUACUGGGCGUAAAGGGCGCGUAGGCGGCACGGCAAGUCAGGAGUGAAAGCCCGGGGCUCAACCCCCGGAAUGUCUUUUGAAACUGCCGAGCUAGAGUGCGGAAGAGGCAACUGGAAUUCCCAGUGUAGCGGUGAAAUGCGUAGAUAUUGGGAAGAACACCUGAGGCGAAGGCGGGUUGCUGGGCCGACACUGACGCUGAGGCGCGAAAGCGUGGGGAGCGAACAGG